rnacentral:rRNA from 1 species
UAUCUCUGUAGAGUCUGCAUAUCAAUAAGCGGAGGAAAAGAAACUAACAAGGAUUCCCCUAGUAACGGCGAGUGAAGCGGGAAGAGCUCAAAUUUGAAAUCUUCAAGGUUUUACCUUGACGAAUUGUAGUUUAAAGAAGUGUUUUCGGUUAGAGGAGUAGGUAAAAGUUCUUUGGAAUAGGACAUCAUAGAGGGUGAGAAUCCCGUAUUUGACCUAUUCUCUCUAGCUUUGUGAUACACUUUCAAAGAGUCGGAUUGUUUGGGAAUGCAGUCCAAAAUGGGUGGUAAAUUUCAUCUAAAGCUAAAUAUUGGCGAGAGACCGAUAGCGAACAAGUACCGUGAGGGAAAGAUGAAAAGAACUUUGAAAAGAGAGUUAAACAGUACGUGAAAUUGUCAAAAGGGAAGCGUUUGACACCAGUGUUGUUUUUCCGAAAAUCAAUUAAAAAUGGAUUCAUGCUAGGUUAGUAUUGACCUUCAUCAGGCUUGCAUGCUUAGUUUUGGGUUUCUUUUUGAUGCACUUUUCGGUUAACAAGUCAACAUCAAUUUCCUUUGCUGUAAAAAGGCAGGAGGAAGGUGGCUUCAAUUUCGGUUGAAGUGUUUAUAGCCUUCUGUCUCUGCAGUCGGGGAGAUUGAGGUCUGCAGCGUAGAUCCUUCGGGGCUAGAUACAUUCGUGCUAAGUUAUAGCCUUUUAUAGACAACUUGUUGACUAUGAUUGGUCUUGUAAUUUACUCGCGAGUGCUAUUUUACCUACGCUUAGGAUGUUGAUGUGAUACUGCGAGCA